rnacentral:lncRNA from 1 species
UACUGCACCCGGCUGAGACAAAUUUUGAAUACAAAGAUACAAAAAAGUUGAAAGUAAAAUGUUGGAAAAAGUUAUUCCAUGAAAAUAGUAUAUUUUAACAAUGGCUAUAGUAUUAUCAGACAAAAUAGAUUUUAAGUCAAAACCGUAACAAGACAAGGUCAGUAUACACUGACAAAAGCUGCAACUUCUCAAGAUACAACAAUUGUAUCCAUACACACACUUAAAACACCCAAAAUGUAUGAAGCAAAAAUUGAUAUAAUUAAAUGAGAAAUACACAAUUGGAGAUUUCAAUACCUCAUUUCCAAUAAUGGAUAAGAACAACCAAACAGAAGAUCUAUAAGGAAAGAGGAUUUGAGCAACUCUAUAAACCAAUUAGACUGAGCAGACAUAUACACAACACACAAACCAGCAACAACAGACUACACAUUAUUGUCAAGUGUACAUGGAACAUUUUCCAGGAUAGACCAUAUGUUAGGCCAUAAAGUAAGUCUUAAUUUUUUUUUUUAAGACGGAGUUUUGCUCUUGUUGCCCAGGCUGGAGUGCAAUGGUGCAGUCUUGGCUCACUGCAACUUCCACCUCCCAGGUUCAAGUGCUU